rnacentral:rRNA from 1 species
UAAUACAUCGGAACGUGCCCAGUCGUGGGGGAUAACGUAGCGAAAGCUACGCUAAUACCGCAUACGAACUCUGGUUGAAAGCGGGGGAUCGCAAGACCUCGCGCGAUUGGAGCGGCCGAUGGCAGAUUAGGUAGUUGGUGGGGUAAAGGCUCACCAAGCCGACGAUCUGUAGCUGGUCUGAGAGGACGACCAGCCACACUGGGACUGAGACACGGCCCAG